rnacentral:lncRNA from 1 species
AAAGAAACUUGAGAUCUUUUAAGGGUAUUGAGAAAGAGUUUACUGCUAUUAGAGAUACUUGGAUCCACUCUUUUGGUUAUAUGCUUUUGGGUUAUGAUAUUAGAGAGCUCAAGGAUUUUGGAGCUGUCUUUGAUAUUUUGAUUGACUUAUAAUUACUUGUAUAUGGGUAUACCUACUUGGUAUUUUAUUAAUAAUACUGUCU